GCUCUCGUUGAUUAAUGGUAAAUCACCCACUGACUGUACUGUUCCGAAAUCCGAAUGUCUUGAAUAUUCAAUGGGAGACAGAGGUUCGAAUCCUCCCGAGGGUA